rnacentral:rRNA from 1 species
AUACGUAGGGUGCAAGCGUUAAUCGGAAUUACUGGGCGUAAAGCGUGCGCAGGCGGUUUUGUAAGACAGAGGUGAAAUCCCCGGGCUCAACCUGGGAACUGCCUUUGUGACUGCAAGGCUAGAGUACGGCAGAGGGGGAUGGAAUUCCGCGUGUAGCAGUGAAAUGCGUAGAUAUGCGGAGGAACACCGAUGGCGAAGGCAAUCCCCUGGGCCUGUACUGACGCUCAUGCACGAAAGCGUGGGGAGCAAACAGGAUUAGAUACCCUGGUAGUCCACGCCCUAAACGAUGUCAACGGGUUGUUGGGUCUUCAUUGACUCAGUAACGAAGCUAACGCGUGAAGUUGACCGCCUGGGGAGUACGGCCGCAAGGUUAAAACUUAAAGGAAUUGACGGGG